CCUGGCUCAGACUGAACGCUGGCGGCGCGCCUAACACAUGCAAGUCGAACGAGAGAUGAGGAGCUUGCUCUUCAAAUCGAGUGAGCGAACGGGUGAGUAACGCGUGAGGAACCUGCCUCAAAGAGGGGGACAACAGUUGGAAACGACUGCUAAUACCGCAUAAGCCCACGGCUCGGCAUCGAGCAGAGGGAAAAGGAGCAAUCCGCUUUGAGAUGGCCUCGCGUCCGAUUAGCUAGUUGGUGAGGUAACGGCCCACCAAGGCAACGAUCGGUAGCCGGACUGAGAGGUUGAACGGCCACAUUGGGACUGAGACACGGCCCAGACUCCUACGGGAGGCAGCAGUGGGGAAUAUUGCACAAUGGGGGAAACCCUGAUGCAGCGACGCCGCGUGGAGGAAGAAGGUCUUCGGAUUGUAAACUCCUGUUGUUGAGGAAGAUAAUGACGGUACUCAACAAGGAAGUGACGGCUAACUACGUGCCAGCAGCCGCGGUAAAACGUAGGUCACAAGCGUUGUCCGGAAUUACUGGGUGUAAAGGGAGCGCAGGCGGGAGAACAAGUUGGAAGUGAAAUCCAUGGGCUCAACCCAUGAACUGCUUUCAAAACUGUUUUUCUUGAGUAGUGCAGAGGUAGGCGGAAUUCCCGGUGUAGCGGUGGAAUGCGUAGAUAUCGGGAGGAACACCAGUGGCUAAGGCGGCCUACUGGGCACCAACUGACGCUGAGGCUCGAAAGUGUGGGUAGCAAACAGGAUUAGAUACCCUGGUAGUCCACACCGUAAACGAUGAUUACUAGGUGUUGGAGGAUUGACCCCUUCAGUGCCGCGUUAACACAAUAAGUAAUCCACCUGGGGAGUACGACCGCAAGGUUGAAACUCAAAGGAAUUGACGGGGGCCCGCACAAGCAGUGGAGUAUGUGGUUUAAUUCGACGCAACGCGAAGAACCUUACCAAGUCUUGACAUCCUGCGACGCACAUAGAAAUAUGUGUUUCCUUCGGGACGCAGAGACAGGUGGUGCAUGGUUGUCGUCAGCUCGUGUCGUGAGAUGUUGGGUUAAGUCCCGCAACGAGCGCAACCCUUAUGGUCAGUUACUACGCAAGAGGACUCUGGCCAGACUGCCGUUGACAAAACGGAGGAAGGUGGGGAUGACGUCAAAUCAUCAUGCCCUUUAUGACUUGGGCUACACACGUACUACAAUGGCGUUAAACAAAGAGAAGCAAGACCGCGAGGUGGAGCAAAACUCAGAAACAACGUCCCAGUUCGGACUGCAGGCUGCAACUCGCCUGCACGAAGUCGGAAUUGCUAGUAAUCGUGGAUCAGCAUGCCACGGUGAAUACGUUCCCGGGCCUUGUACACACCGCCC
rnacentral:rRNA from 1 species